AGUGAACGCUGGCGGUAGGCCUAACACAUGCAAGUCGAACGGCAGCACAGUAAGAGCUUGCUCUUACGGGUGGCGAGUGGCGGACGGGUGAGGAAUACAUCGGAAUCUACUUUUUCGUGGGGGAUAACGUAGGGAAACUUACGCUAAUACCGCAUACGACCUACGGGUGAAAGCAGGGGACCUUCGGACCUUGCGCGAUUGAAUGAGCCGAUGUCGGAUUAGCUAGUUGGCGGGGUAAAGGCCCACCAAGGCGACGAUCCGUAGCUGGUCUGAGAGGAUGAUCAGCCACACUGGAACUGAGACACGGUCCAGACUCCUACGGGAGGCAGCAGUGGGGAAUAUUGGACAAUGGGCGAAAGCCUGAUCCAGCCAUACCGCGUGGGUGAAGAAGGCCUUCGGGUUGUAAAGCCCUUUUGUUGGGAAAGAAAAGCAGCAGGUUAAUACCCCGCUGUUCUGACGGUACCCAAAGAAUAAGCACCGGCUAACUUCGUG
rnacentral:rRNA from 1 species